rnacentral:rRNA from 1 species
AGAGUUUGAUCAUGGCUCAGGAUGAACGCUAGCGGCAGGCCUAAUACAUGCAAGUCGAACGGGCCGGAGUAGCAAUACUUCGGUUAGUGGCGCACGGGUGCGUAACGCGUAUGCAACCUACCUUUUAUUGGGGGAUAGCCCGAAGAAAUUCGGAUUAAUACCGCAUAAUAUCAUUUGAGGGCAUCUGAAGAUGAUUAAAGCUACGGCGAUAAAAGAUGGGCAUGCGUGACAUUAGCUAGUUGGUGGUGGUAACGGCACACCAAGGCGACGAUGUCUAGGGGUUCUGAGAGGAUGAUCCCCCACACUGGUACUGAGAUACGGACCAGACUCCUACGGGAGGCAGCAGUAGGGAAUAUUGGGCAAUGGCGGAAACGCUGACCCAGCCAUGCCGCGUGCAGGAUGAAGGCCUUCUGGGUUGUAAACUGCUUUUACCAGGGAAGAAAAUACCUUUGCGAAGGGAACUGACGGUACCUGGUGAAUAAGCACCGGCUAACUCCGUGCCAGCAGCCGCGGUAAUACGGAGGGUGCAAGCGUUGUCCGGAUUUAUUGGGUUUAAAGGGUGCGUAGGCGGCUUGAUAAGUCCGUGGUGAAAGCCAACAGCUCAACUGUUGAACUGCCAUGGAUACUGUCAGGCUUGAGUACAGACGAGGUAGGCGGAAUGGAUCGUGUAGCGGUGAAAUGCAUAGAUACGAUCCAGAACUCCGAUUGCGAAGGCAGCUUACUAGGCUGUAACUGACGCUGAGGCACGAAAGCGUGGGGAGCGAACAGGAUUAGAUACCCCUGUAGUCC